rnacentral:rRNA from 1 species
ACGGAAGGCAGCAGUGAGGAAUAUUGGUCAAUGGGCGGAAGCCUGAACCAGCCAAGUCGCGUGAAGGAUGAAGGUAUUAUGUAUUGUAAACCUCUUUAGCUGUGGAGCAAUAAUCUCCAUGUAUGGAGAGAUGAGAGUACACAGAGAAUAAGGAUCGGCUAACUCCGUGCCAGCAGCCGCGGUAAUACGGAGGAUCCGAGCGUUAUCCGGAUUUAUUGGGUUUAAAGGGUGCGCAGGCGGCUUUCUAAGUCAGUGGUCAAAUCGUGGUGCUCAACGCCAUCCCGCCAUUGAUACUGGAGAGCUUGAUUGCGGUCGAGGUUUGCGGAAUUCGUCGUGUAGCGGUGAAAUGCAUAGAUAUGACGAAGAACACCGAUUGCGUAGGCAGCAGACCAGGCCGUAAAUGACGCUCAUGCACGAAAGUGCGGGGAUCGAACAGGAUUAGAUACCCUGGUA